rnacentral:tRNA from 1 species
CAGAAGAUAGUUUAAUAAAAAUAUUAAUUUUGGGAAUUAGUGAUAGGGGAUUCCUCUUCUUCUGA